GUGCCGUCUGUGUUUGGCCAGGGAGGUUGGGAGAGGACGCGACGCCUGCCUAUAAAUACAGCAGGAGCGUAAACACCGGGGAGGGAGCAAACAGACUGGAGGUGAAGGGCGAUGUCAGCAGAAAAUCCAGCAGCUCCGAACUGGGAGAGACACAUCCAGGGGGAGCUGAGAGCCUGCCUCUGGGGUCCUGGGGCACUGGGACUCCGGGGAGAGCUGGGUCCCCAAAGUGAAGAUGAAAAGCCUGCUUCUCGUCGGCUGGAUUUCUGGCUCCGGUGUGCACCCCCUUAGAUUUAUCAGAAAUACUUCAGCAGAUAGGAGGAGGAGAGCCCUGGAGGCUGACAGAGCAGGACUGUCCUCAUGGCACCUGUGCUGCAUCCCCCAGGUGAAGCUGCAAAGGGCACCAGGGUCUGAGACACGUCUCCAGCCAGCUCCGAGCAGCAACCGGGGAGUCUGCGAAUCCGGCAUCCAGCCCGGAAUAUUGUGUGCACCAUCUCAGUGCAGCUCCGUAAUUAAAAGAC